GGGAAUGUGGCUUAGUGGUAGAGUGCUUGCCUAGCAAGCAUGAAGCCCUGGGUUCGAUUCCUCAAUAACA
rnacentral:tRNA from 1 species